rnacentral:rRNA from 1 species
AACGUAGGAGGCGAGCGUUAUCCGGAUUUACUGGGUGUAAAGCGCGUGCAGGCGGUUUGCUAAGUUGGGUGUGAAAGCUCCUGGCUCAACUGGGAGAGGUCGCUCAAGACUGGCAGACUGGAGAGCAGUAAGGGAAGGUGGAAUUCCGGGUGUAGUGGUGAAAUGCGUAGAUAUCCGGAGGAACACCAGUGGCGAAGGCGGCCUUCUGGACUGCAUCUGACGCUCAGACGCGAAAGCUAGGGGAGCAAACGGG